GAACAAUGAUGAGUUUUAUUAAUCCUGAUGUGCUGUGAAGAAUAUUUUUACGAGCUUUUUAACUCUGAGUGUA